rnacentral:SRP_RNA from 2 species
GCUGGGCGUGGUGGCGGGCGCCUGUAGUCCCAGCUACUCGGGAGGCUGAGGCAGGAGAAUUGCUUGAACCCAGGAGGCAGAGGUUGCAGUGAGCCAAGAUCGCACCACUGCACUCCAGCCUGGGUGACAGAGUGAGACUCCGCCUCAA